rnacentral:rRNA from 1 species
AGCACCGGCUAACUCCGUGCCAGCAGCCGCGGUAAUACGGAGGGUGCGAGCGUUAAUCGGAAUUACUGGGCGUAAAGCGCAUGCAGGUGGUUUGUUAAGUCAGAUGUGAAAGCCCGGGGCUCAACCUCGGAAUUGCAUUUGAAACUGGCAGACUAGAGUACUGUAGAGGGGGGUAGAAUUUCAGGUGUAGCGGUGAAAUGCGUAGAGAUCUGAAGGAAUACCGGUGGCGAAGGCGGCCCCCUGGACAGAUACUGACACUCAGAUGCGAAAGCGUGGGGAGCAAACAGGAUUAGAUACCCUGGUAGUCCACGCCGUAAACGAUGUCUACUUGGAGGUUGUGGCCUUGAGCCGUGGCUUUCGGAGCUAACGCGUUAAGUAGACCGCCUGGGGAGUACGGUCGCAAGAUUAAAACUCAAAUGAAUUGACGGGGGCCCGCACAAGCGGUGGAGCAUGUGGUUUAAUUCGAUGCAACGCGAAGAACCUUACCUACUCUUGACAUCCAGAGAACUUUCCAGAGAUGGAUUGGUGCCUUCGGGA